GCCUGGGCAGCUCAGUUGGUUAAGCAUCUGACUUUGGCUCAGGGCAUGAUCUCACGGUUCAUGAGUUCGAACCCCAUCUCGGGCU
rfam:Felis catus isolate Cinnamon breed Abyssinian chromosome B1, whole genome shotgun sequence.